rnacentral:rRNA from 1 species
UACGUAGGGUGCGAGCGUUGUCCGGAAUUAUUGGGCGUAAAGGGCUCGUAGGCGGUUUGUCGCGUCGGGAGUGAAAACCAGGUGCUUAACACCUGGCUUGCUUUCGAUACGGGCAGACUAGAGGCAUGCAGGGGAGAACGGAAUUCCUGGUGUAGCGGUGGAAUGCGCAGAUAUCAGGAGGAACACCAAUAGCGAAGGCAGCUCGCUGGGACGGUACUGACGCUAAGGCGCGAAAGCGUGGGGAGCGAACAGG